AUGACUUUGAUCUCCGUCCUCAUCUGGACUGUCCUCUGCUGCUGCUUCACAGAGUCCAGAGGCCAGAUCACAGUGACUCAGCCUGCAGCAGUGAGAUCUGCUCUGGGAGGCUCCACAACCAUCAACUGUAGGACCAGUCAGAAUGUUUAUAAUUCAAACCGUUUAGCCUGGUACCAACAGAGAGAUGGAGAAACUCCUAAACUUCUCAUUUACUAUGCUACCACUCGAGCAUCAGGGAUUCCAGAUCGUUUUUCAGGCAGUGGAUCAAACUCUGACUUCACUCUGACCAUCAGUGGAGUUCAGGCUGAAGAUUCAGGAGUUUAUUACUGUCAGAGUUUCCACUUUCCCAACAGUCAGUAUGUGUUCACACAGUGA